AGAGUUUGAUCAUGGCUCAGAAUCAACGCUGGCGGCGUGCCUCAGACAUGCAAGUCGAACGCGAAAGUCCCCUUCGGGGGGCUAGUAGAGUGGCGCACGGGUGAGUAACACGUAGGUAAUCUACCUUCGGAUGGGGAAUAACAAUCGGAAACGGUUGCUAAUACCGCAUAAUGCAGCGGCACCUAAUGGUGACAGUUGUUAAAGCGGGGGAUCGAAAGACCUCGCGUCUGAAGAGGAGCCUGCGGCGGAUUAGCUAGUUGGUAAGGUAACGGCUUACCAAGGCGACGAUCCGUAGCCGGCCUGAGAGGGCGGUCGGCCACACUGACACUGACAUACGGGUCAGACUCCUACGGGAGGCAGCAGUCGGGAAUUUUGGGCAAUGGGCGAAAGCCUGACCCAGCAACGCCGCGUGAAGGAUGAAAUCCCUCGGGAUGUAAACUUCGCAAGAACGGGAAGAAUAAGUCUGUGUAAAUACCACAGAUGAUGACGGUACCGUUUGUAAGCUCCGGCUAACUCCGUGCCAGCAGCCGCGGUAAUACGGGGGGAACAAGCGUUGUUCGGAUUUACUG
rnacentral:rRNA from 1 species